rnacentral:rRNA from 1 species
GACGAACGCUGGCGGCGUGCUUAACACAUGCAAGUCGAACGGAAAGGCCCUGCUUUUGUGGGGUUCUCGAGUGGCGAACUGGUGAGUAACACGUGAGUAACCUGCCCUUGACUUUGAGAUAACUUCAGGAAACUGGGGCUAAUACCUGAUAGGAGCUCCUGCUGCAUGUUGGGGUUUGGAAAGUUUCUGCGGUUGGGGAUGGACUCGCGGCUUAUCAGCUUGUUGGUGGGGUAGUGGCUUACCAAGGCUUUGACGGGUAGCCGGCCUGAGAGGGUGACCGGCCACAUUGGGACUGAGAUACGGCCCAGACUCCUACGGGAGGCAGCAGUGGGGAAUAUUGCACAAUGGGCGGAAGCCUGAUGCAGAAACGCCGCGUGCGGGAUGACGGCCUUCGGGUUGUAAACCGCUUUCGCCUGUGACGAAGCGUGAGUGACGGUAAUGGGUAAAGAAGCACCGGCUAACUACGUG